UCACCUACGCCUAGGGGGCUUACAACCAAAGAAAUGAAAUCAACUCUCAAUAGUAUUAGUAUAAUUAUUCUUAGAUGAACAAGCCUUGUUCAAUGUCUACUUCCUAAUACUACCUGUGUCUUUUUAUUUAGGAUUCUCCCUAAAUAUAAAAACCCUUCUCACUUUCUCUCAACCACUACCCUAGUGAUCAAUGCGAAUUUUUG
rnacentral:lncRNA from 1 species